rnacentral:lncRNA from 1 species
AGAAGACAACAAAAGUCCAUGAAGAACAGGGCACUUCUCAGCAACCCUCAAGGAAGCAAUUGAACUAAAGCUUGAAAACCAUGGGGUCACUGAGAGAAGGAGCCUGAAGAGAGAAAAGGAUGAAGGACCCAAAAAAGACUAACAUUUAACAGAUGGGAUGUGAAACAGAACCAGGUACAGAUAAAGAUGAAACAUCCAAUUGCAGAUAUGAAUGACCUAAUUCAAUGGAUGAGUCUGGAAGAGGACCAAGUUCAUGGGAAAGAUCAAAAAUUCAGUUUUGAAGAUGUUGAUGAGAAGAUGAGACAAAACCAUGUAUAGAUGCGGAUGAGCUAAUUAAAUAUAUGAGUCUGGAGCUGAAAGGAAAUGCCUUGACAAGAGAAGUAAAUUUGAGGACCAUCAGUAUACAGAUGUACUUGAAUCCAUCUAUGUAAAUGCAAUCACCCUGGGAGGAAAUUUAGAGUGAGAACAGGACUGCGUGGAAAGACAUUAAAGAAGUUAAAGAAAGAAGAACUAACAAAGGCAGGAGAGAAGAAGAGGACGGAGAGGUAGGAGAGAAACCAGUAAUGUGCGAUGGCAUAGAAAUUAAGGAAGUUUCCAAGAUUGAAGAAGGAGGGAGAGAGGGCUAUGGAAGUCACAGGUUGGAGGUGGUGCCCAGAGCCUGGAAUAAACAUUUACCCUAGUGUUCAUCAGAGAGUGAAUGAGGCCUGGGAAUCCAAGACUUGCCAAAGAUUAUUCUGCCUGGAACAGGUCAAAAUACAGCAAAGGAUAUGAAGGGACACUACAAGAUGGGAAAAUGGGUGCCUCAUUGUUAACUGAUGUGGACAGAUGAUGGGUAACCACAUAAUCUUCUCUACGUCAUUUUUGAUACUACCAAAAAUUCUGGGUUCUUGGCAUCAUAGCAAAACUCAGAUGUAGAGAGAAGCCCCACAAUUAGAUGAAGUAAAAUUUUCCUACUUGAAGUUGAAUUUCACUGAAGUGAAAUCAGGUCACAGAGUCUAAAAUUAAGUUGAUCUAGGAAAACUGAAAAAAAGAGUAUUUAUUCCACAGUUGAAGUGUAGAAAGGAAUUAAUCUAUGCUAUAAUAGUAAUAGUUAAAAUUUAUUGAACUUUUACUAUAUGACAAGAACUUUGAUAAUAUGUUUAUUUGCAUUGACUAGUUCAUUUAAUUCUGACAGAACUUUUUAAUAUACUUAUACAUCACUUAACAAUGAAGACACAUUCUUAGAAAUGCACUUUUAGGUAAUUGUGCCCUUGUGUGAACAUCAUAGAGUGUACAUACACAAACCUAGAUGAUAUUGAUAGCAACAAGAAACAGACAAGGCAGACAUGGAUGGGUCCCUGGUGAAACUCAACCUUCAAGCCAAGAACAGUCUAAAGCCUGAAAACCAAGCAACAGUUACAGAUAGAAUUCACGGACCAGAAUGAGAACUUCCAUUUCCAUCUUACCUACUCUCUCUCUAUUGGUUCUUUCUGAAUGAUGCCUUUUAGCCAAUCAAAUGCUCCCUUUUCCAAGCCCACCCAUAAAUCAAUCAGCAUGCGUUCCCCCCAUUCUAAGUUCAUAAAACCCUGGAUUCAGCCUCAUAGACGGCUACGCUCUUUGGGGUCCCCUCUUGCUGUUGAGAGCUUUUCUUUCAUUCAGUAAAUUCUACUCUGCCUUACCCUGCCUCCAGUGUCCACGUACCUUAUUACUCUUGGCCACGGGACAAGAACCCAUAACUCACUGAACUAUGGGAGCAAAAGAGCUGUAACAUUCCUGUUCACUGAGCCGUGGGCAGGAAGAGUAAAAGAGCUGUAACACUCCUUCCCACCAAACUAUGAGAGUCAAAAAGCCACAACAAUAUAGCCUACUACACAUCUAGGCUAUAUGUAUAGCUUAUUGCUCCUAGGUGACAAACCUAUACAGCAUGUUACUAUACUGAACACUAUAGGCAGUUGUAACACAAUGUUUAAUUUUUUUUAUCUAACUAUAUCUAAACACAGAAGAGGUACAGUAAAAAUAUAGUAUUAUAAUCUUAUGGGACCACCACAGUAUAUAUGGCUCAUUCUUACUCAGAAUGUCAUUAUGCAAUACAUGACUCUAGUUACCAUUAUAAUUUCCAUUUCACAAAUGAGAAAUAUGAAGCAUAGUUAAGAUAAAUGCCUAAGAUCUAUCCAGUUAAAAAGUAGAUGCCGACUAGAACCUAAGUCUGAGACCAUGUUCAUAGCUACUACUCAAUAUCAUAUUAAGAAAUUAAUCUCCCAACCUUCUGGUUCUAGACAGUCUGGGUGGUCUGGACUUUACCCCAUUGCAGUGCACUGGCUCUGCCAAUGGUCAGCCAGAUGGCUUCUUUAAGCAGGUACCUGAUCCCAUUCCUCCUGACUGGGUGAGACCCGUCAACAGGAGUCUCCAGACACCUCCUACAGGAGCAUUUGGGCUGGCAUCAGGUCAGUGCCCGCCCCGCACCCCCAUCACCCCGGGACUGAGCUCCCAGAGGAAGGGGCAGGCUGACAUCUUUUCUGUUUUGGAGUCUUCACUGAUGAUACCUCCAGGUAAGGAGAAAACUGCAGCAACCCUAUAGACAAGUGGCCUGACUAUUAAAAUAAAAACAAACAAAGAGAAAGCAACAACAAUAACAUCAACAACAACAAAAGAUCCCACAAAGAUCCCCAUUCAAAGGUCAGCAACUUCAAAGAUUGAAGGUAGAUAAGCCCACAAAGAUGAGAAAGAAUCAAUGCAAAAACGGUGAAAACUCAAAAAGUCAGGAUGCUUCUUCUCUUGCAAAUUACCGCAACACCUCUCCAGUAAGGGCACAGAACUGGUCUGAGGCUCAGAUGGCUGAACUGACAGAAGUAGGCUUCAGAAGGUGGGUGAUAAUGAACAUCAUUGAGUUAAAGGAACAUGUUUUAACCCAAUGCAAAGAAGCUAAGAAUCAUGAUAAAACAAUAAAGGAGCUAAUAACUAGAAUAGCCAGUUUAGAGAGGAGCAUAAUUGACCUAAUGGAACCGAAACACACAACAUGAGACAUUCACAAUGCAAUCACAAGGAUC